GGGGCGACGUAGUAUUCCCACGUAGUGCUUUCACGAAUGAAUCGAGCCACGGCCUCGGCUGACCGCUCGGCCGAUCGCUAAUCCCGCGGAAGCAAAGUAUCUUCGCCAUCUUCUCCUCUCGUGGAAUCGAUCGAGAGAGCGGUGUCUCUCUCUCUCUCGAGAUGGCGCAGACUCGUGCUCCAAGGUUUAUACGAGUUGGAGUCGAAACUCGCGCCAGUGGCGAGGCGUUUAACGUUUGAUUACGCGUGGAGGAGAGGGUCGGGUGUCAUGGGAAAGACAGCGGGGUGCUUUGGGUUGUGGUUAUCGCGAUUUUAGCGGCUCGCUUCCGCGGUGGAUUUUCGCCCGUGAGUAUUGUCGACGUGUACUCGCGUAAUGGAGAUUUUGUGAGAUGUGUGCGUGUCGUAUGUAUGUAUCGUGUACGUCUCUGAUGGAGGGAUACUUUUCGAGGGGGUAGGUUUUGAUUGUAUUUGUUAUUCGUUUUAUUAUUUUUCAACGGUAAUAUCGUUAUUUUUGUGGUUUCCAGCCGAGCUAAUCCACCACUCUAUUCGUCAUUUUGAAACGCGCGUGAAAACUUGCGAUGUCUCUCGAAACGAAUCAAACUUUAGAUUCUCGCCAAGCGUUUGUUUAAAAAUCGAAGAACGGAUAGAACGUGAAAGGAAAAGAAGAAGAAGAACGUUUCAAUUAGGCGAAACGUAAUAUUAAAAUCAAUCAAAUUCCUCACAACGCAUCGCCACACCAAUUAUUAAUCUCUUCGCGCAUCUCAUCUUCCCAUCAAAAUCCAUCAAAAUUUCCCCCUCGCUAUCUAACAACUUCGCAACGGAUCAAUGCGAAUCAAGCGACCUCGAUCACCUCGAUUAAUCGAACAACGAUUAAUUGAUACGGAGGACGAGGGAGAGGGAGGAGCGGAGAGGCCGCCGUCAUCAAGAAUGCAUGGCGAGAAUGCGGCACUGGUGGCGAGAAAUGGCGCUGGCACAACAGAUCUAGAAAUAUCCUUAACGGGAAUGCAAAUCUAGACUUAUGCGGCGUGUGUAGGUAUCCUCCGCGUAGGAGGCGGAGGGGGAGGGAAGAAGGAGGACGUGGCUUCCCUCGAACGUCACCUUCGUUCGCCGAUCGUUAAAGUACGAAGUCACGUUCGCGUGCACGACUCUAAAUAUGUAGAUCCCCGAAGAUCUGUUGGGAGGCCGGCGAGUCCCUGAAUAUUCCGCAGGCAUCGCCGAAUUCCAGCCGGCCUCGCGAGAGAGCUUUACGAUGCACGAGCGCCGGGGAGGGGAGAUCGCGAUCCUCGUUACUUAGCGGAUCGCGCAUCUGUUAUUCUAGAAAAAUUUACAAUUCACCGGCGAACAGUUAGCCGAACCGCGAUCGAUCGAUUACGAAAACUGGUCGUUGUGUUAUAAGCGCGUAAUAUUAACGCGACUUUAUCCGAAAAGUAAUUAACGAGAGGAGGGAUUGCGAAGAGUUUUGAAAUCGCGAUUUUGCAGCAUAACGGAGGUGAUACGAUAACGAAAAUGAAGAAAUUAAAUCGAAAUAUUUACAUCUGUUGUGAUCGGGGAGCCAAAAGAAACAUAUUAUUCCCGCUUUAUAAGCCACGAAUAUGCAAAUUCUCAAAUGUUUAGGAGGACAUAGGAGGCAGCUCGAUAUAAUACUCUCACAAGUUAUCAUCUGAAGAAGACGAUGAUAUAUUAUUUGGCAAAAUACUCGAGUUGAUGUGUAAUUUCAAUCGAGAUCUUCAAUUCGCGUUAAUUCGACGGUGUAAAUCGGAUAAGCAAGUAGCUCGGCCGAUGGGUGAGCAAUCUCUUCGCCCUGGCAGAAAUAAAGCUCGAGGCAGAGCACCACCUGAGCUAUCUUCGUGGGCACGUGCGAUCGGUCGACGCGAACAAAGUGCGAACAUUGGCUUGUAACCGGUGGAAUUCAGGCUAGUAACGGUGGAACGUAUUGCUCGAGGAAAGAUGGAGUGGAAGAGAUUUCAAAGGAUGUUUGAAGGGUUUUAUGGGGGUGAGAUGAAGUAUGAGGAAGGAAGGAAGGCAGUUGAGAGCGAGCAUUUCGAUGAAUUCUUUGGUGGAAGAUUAUGAGGAUUGGACGGAUUGGAAUGUGUGCGAGGGGAGAUAUAGGGGAAAGGGAAGAAACUUAUGUGAGGCAGGUGCGCGAGAUAUGUGCACUGCAUAGCGAGCGGGUAACAAGAACGACUUGCUGCGAAGACAAUGGUGAAUGAAGUGAACAAUGAGUUCUCGUUCUAUCGAAAUUCACGCAUCCACGUGGAAUUCGGUCUCACGCGAUUAUAAAACUCGGAGGAUAUAUCUUUAAUUCGUUUUACGAGAAUCGUUUUGCGAAUUAAAAUAUUAAUUAAUGAUGAUAUAACCUGCUGGAUUUUAAAUUAUUCUCGAGGCGAAGAAUUAAUAAAGAAAAAAAGAAAUUAACAAUGGAGUUAAACGGAGGAAUAUAUAGAAGCUUUCAACGAUUAAUCUCGUCGAUUACCCACAUCGAUGGUGAGCGAAACGCGCGAAUAGAAAUACAAUAUGCGUCGAAGCCAACGAAAGGCGGACGAGCUCGAUGGAAGGAAGACCAACAGCAGUUGGGAGGGGUCGGGACGUCAAGUUUCGCGCUUGGCCACGUUUCAAACCUGCGAUCUGGCCCCUCAAACCCGGCAACGAGCAUCGUGGACGGCCGAUUUCAAUAACUCCGCUCUGCCUUUUAUUUAUUUUCCCCGGUCGGAUCUGCCCUCUUUCUAAAAAAAAAAAAAAAGGAAAAAAGAAAGAAAAGGAAAAGAAGGGCCCAGAGGAAAGGGGUGGAGCGGCCGCGUUAUAAACGCGGACACGUUAGCAUUAUUGCAUCUCGCGCGCGAAAACUCGAGGAUGCGCAGCGGCGAGGAUCCUUGCGAGCCUCGGGCACCGGUUUCGUCGUAGAUCAUGCCGUGGUUACGGCUACCGAUGGAUCGUAUUUUCCGUCCAGAGACCCUAGGCAAAUUUCUAAUGAACGACUCGUGACGGGGCUUGAGCUAUUCGAAGGAAGAGAUAUAUGAAGUUAAGGUGAAGUAAUGUGGGAUACGGUGGAGAUAUCAUGAAGUUUCGCGGUGGUAAUUGUAGAGAAUCGUUGGAUAUUGAAUGGAUUAUUGUAAUCGCAUCUCAGCGGGAGUUUAUUUUUCCUAUUUUGAAAAAGCGGUGUAGAAUUAGUUAUUUGAGUUGCAGUUAUUACUUUAUAGGGAAUAUUCGAUAAACAAAUUAUGGAUUUCUUGUUUGGAAUUUAAAAUUGCGAUCUAUAAAUAAAGAUGCCUCGAAUAAUCCAUCAAGUUGUAAGAUUAUCGUAAAAAAGGAAAUAAUAAGAAUCAUAAUAACAAAAGUCGAUAAAACGUGCAAUAAUAAUUAAAUAUAAUAUAUGGUAUAAUAUGUAAAUAACAAUUGGUAAUAUUAAUAUUACAAUAUUUAUACAUGUAAUAUAAUAUAAUAUUGUUAUAUCCGGCAGAUAUUCCUCCGUAAUAUUUUUUUAUUUAAAUUCCUUUUUUACAAUAGUCAUUAUUAACAAUCGUUUACACGAUAUUUAAUAAUUUUUCGAUAUAAUAUUUGCACGGAGAACAGAGAGAAACACGACCGUUCCGCUCCGUGUCCGGAAAGCGAUUGAAUCGAAAUCAAUGUUUUGAAUAUCGAUGUUAUUAAUAUAUAACCGGUGUUAUUAUUAUUCCUCGUGCCUCGUUCCGUAUUAAUACUCCAUAUUAUUCUCAAUAUUAUUACGAAUAUAUAAGAUAUAUAAAUAAUGUUUAUUAUUUUAUUAUAUAAUACAUAUAAUACAAUUAAUUAAUUAAUUAAAAUAUAAAUAUAUUGUACGUACAAAAAUAAUUUUUAUUAUUUAUAUAAUAAAAAUAUAUUAUUUAUUAUUUGUAUAUAUCGUAUAAAUAACGUCACAAUAAUGAAAGAAUAUUUCCCAUAAAAUUUCAUUUACUUCCCACACUUUUACCAACUUUUAACACACACAUAUAUAUAUAACCUUCCAAUUCCAUCAUAUCAUAUGGUGUAUUCCUGCCACACGCGAAGCAUUCGAUUAUCAAUUCCAUUCUCCCAGAACAAACAAUACAACAAUGUAAUCGUGCGUAGAAAGCGAUGAUCGAGAGCACGGUCUCGCCCGAAAGCGAAUAACUCUCCUCCAUGUGGAAAAGUUGGCUCGAUCGAUUUCACUCUCUCGCUCAAUUGGUAAAAAUUUCACUCGCUUCACACGCGAGCUCGUUCCGCCUGCUAUUGAAAUCGGGACGAAACAACAACAACGAUCGUGGUUCUAAUCCCGACCAUCCCCUUUCCCCACGAUGAUCGAAAAUUCAAUCUACGCGAUUCGAUCUAACUGGAUAAUCGAGCCGAUCGCUACGAUCGAGCAGGGAAACGCUUAUUACAGGGGCCCGUUUCUCACCUGGCGCGGCUCGUGUGCCAGCAGGAGGAAGCGGACAAAAGCGCGUUCGAGAUUCCGAUUCGGUCGUGUCCGCGCUACGAAUUAUGGCGAAUGCCGUGCCCUUUUGCAUGCAACGUGAACGAACCACGAUUUCUAGAUCUAGACCUAACCUUUCGGCCGACAUCGGGAUCCAGUUCAGUCGAUCUGCGAGUCGCGAGCUCUCUCGCUCUUGGAAUCGCUCGAAUGGUUGUGGUAUUGUGGGUGCGAGGAUGGGCGGCUCGGAAAAAUCGUAAUGAGGCAUUGUUUCUGAAAGAUCCGUGACACGGGGAAAGACGAUACGACGAGUAGAUAUGUGGGGGUGGUUUUAAUGGAUCUCUAAAAAAUUCCUUUGCACUUUCGUAUUACUAUUAUUAUGGUACUAUAUUUUAAUUUUUCGGAUAAUUGAUUCGAAUCCUUUUCGACGCAUAAUUUUAUCGAUCGAAGAUUCUUCUUUUCUCUCUCCUUGAACGAUUUUCCAUUCCGCAAAAUAAUGUGUAAACUUUUCCAGAAUCCAAAGAAUCUCGAUUAACGAUUCGCGCAAUAUCGUCGCAUGAUCAUCCCUCCAACGUCGAAAACACUUACCUUUCGGUUAACUCACGGGGAUUCCAGCCCCGGAGAAAAGAAAAGGAAAGAAAAAUAAAACCGUUAUUAAUAACAGUCCAAACAGAAAUUACCCAAGAAUAUUAAUUAUAACGUAUUAAAUGGAGACGGACUCGCAGUUAAUUAUUAGCGUUUCGUCGAUAAAUCGCGUGGCAAUUGUACACGGGACGCUUCUCCCUUCGUGUAAACGUCCGGGAUCGGUAUCCGAACGGCCGCUAAUCCGCGGCAUUUUAAUAUUUAAUUUAGCAGCGGCAGGCGAGCCGCGUAAAAAGCACCCGACAACUUGUAACUUAUGUAACGCGUCACCAUCCGCGCCGACCGCGGCUCGCUUCGAUAAAUUACACCCUCCCCGCGAGGAACACGCGCCUCGAAACCGGCCUGUCGUUGGAUUCUCGCCGAUUUCCUCCUGGAGAAAAUUCGCCGCUCCAUUCCCCUGUUCGCAUUUUUACCCUGAGGGUUAAUCGCCGGUUCUUCCAGUUCUUCCAGACGAAACCGGGAAGCGCCUCGAGAGAGAAGGCCGCCAAACAGGGGCCUCCCCUUCCCUCCCCCGUGAUUUCUUACAUUUCGUCUCGGUCCCGCGCGCAUGCCGCACGCUUUUCCGCUUGCGGAAAAUUCGUUUAAACGAGGGGUUGAGGUUCGAGGGAGCGCGGGUUCGAAGGUUGUAAGGUUGGAGGUGUCGGGCGCCGUAGGGGGUCCCGAGGCUAGCCGGUGCUACAUCAUCCACGGGGACAGCGUAUCCACUUGUUAGCGAAGCGGGCGCAGCCACUGCCUACAAAUACGUUUCCGCCGUGAUAAAUGGACUGCAACUCUCGAAAUACGAAGGCAUUCCGACUCCGGGCGUUGCUUGAUUAAUGAACUACGGGAUUUCUAAGACGGUUCGUUGUCUUGGAUACGCUUCCGUUUUCACCCGGCGCUCCUACGUAUACGGCGGAGGUGAAAAAUGAAGAGAAUUCGAAGAGAUUGGAAAUUUUAUAAUCAGACUUUCAAUUACUCGGACGACUGCUUCUAACGAAAUCCCCACCGAUCGAAGUUUAUUCGUUCGAAAGAACAGCAAUUGGAGAAAGGGGUAUCAUUAUUCAAGCAACAUCGAGCGUGAUUAAGAUUCAGGAUACAUUUCUCACAAAAGUUCGAAGUACGGCGAUAACGAUGACGGGUGAAUAUCUCCAGCGAGGGGGAUGAGCUUAAUUUUCUCACGUCGCCUCCUCCCCGGCCCACUCCUCGGCCAGGAGCGUGCAUCGAGGUGGAUGGGGCCCGGCGAAGCGUAACGAUAAAUCAAUAGCGGAGGCCCCGCGGUAUCCUCGGUGGUGCCCAUAAUAAAUUCAUGAAUUGUAAAACUGCUGCUCUCGCGCUGGACGAACCGUGGCGUAUUGGAUUUAUUGGCCGACCUGACCCCGCUAAGACGCCUCUCGCGCGCGGAGGCGAGCGCGCCGAUCUUCGGCGAAAAAAGAUAUAGAAACGAUAGAGAAGGAGGGGAGCCGUGGACGCGGUUGAUGUAUGAACGAGUUAACGGGUCGCAAUCGAUCAACCGUAUUACCAAAUAAUUUUCAAUUACCCCGUGUGUAAGCGCGAUUGACUGCCGGGGGGACAGGCUAUCCACGCACUCGAUUCAUCGUUCACCAAUGAUACGUGACUGAACGCGCUAGAUGGCGUCGUUGACCUCUGCUCGAAUGGGGUAAAUGGCGGACAGCCAUUACCCCCAGGGAUCCCGAUGGGCACCGAUUGUGGAUUUUAUUCGCUGGAAUAUUGGAUACGGGUGAGAGAUGGAAAUAGAACCGGACGGAUCUGAUAAACGAUUUACAAUGGAAGCGCUUUUAAGUCGAUUGAAGUUUUAUUUCAUCAGAGAUAAAAUCCUAGACAAGUCAUCCUUUAUACGUUACAACGCGAGAUGCAUCUAUUUAGAUACGUUUCGUUAAUUCAAGAAGCACGAAAUUAAUAUCAUCGAGGAUGAAUUAUUAUGGCAUCGCGUAUAAUCGAAACGGAAUCCGAUAAAAUAUAUAAACGACAAAUUAUAAAAGUCCCCCCCUUCCUCAAAAAAAUCGUCAUCCACGUGACCCACGUCCAUUAACAACGAAAAAUCCGCGCCACGUUAUCCAUUAUCCGGCAAUCUCCAUAUUUUCUCGCACGUUCGAGGGGGUCCAGCCGCAGAAGUAUUGCUCGCGAUUAUGCGUAUGCCAUUUAUCGAGCGUAUACCAACACGGGCCCGCGUUGAACGGGAUGGAGGGUCCGGGGCCCCGAAGUCACGGAGAGAGAUUACACGGGCAGGCAGUUAGAAGUGGUUUAGCGAUAAUUUAAACGCGCUAAAUCAGAAACGCAUUUACGAGAUCGGCGUGAAAUUUAUAAAUUAGCCGGCUGGCAGAUUUGUGGCUAGUAUUUAUACAUUUACACCGCCAUGGGGCCCGCGCCGGGGCCCCGAUGCCCUGCUGGCAACGGAAAACCUCCGCGUGGCUCGGUGAUUUACGCCGGAGCAUCGGCGUCCUGGCGCGGCCAAACUCGAAACGAAAAUCGCCUCGCUCGUGAUGAAGCUUUUACCUCUGAUUUUCCGAAGAAAUUUUAGGAAGACGAACAAUGGGUUUCUUCGUGUACUUGUUGCUGCCGCGCCAGAAAGGGAUUUGUUUGAUUCGACGCAGCACUGAUCGAUCGGUGGAAUUAAAUAACGAGAACAAUAUUUUAAUUGAUAAUUGAUAAUUUUGUGAAUGGUAUUACCAGAGGCACGAAAAAUUCACGAGUUCUCCAGAAAUUGUGUAAUUAAAUUCUAUUUACGAAGUUACGUUAUACUAUUACAAUUUCGCGUCGAAUGAUUUGUAAUGAAUAGUUUUGAGUGUUGAGAAAAGUUGAAAUUAAUUUCGCGAUAGACACGAAGAUUGAGAAGUAUCGUUUAACGAUUACGUUAAUUUUUACGUUUCAACUUGCUAAACCUGAUGACUCCAACACCGGUACCCUCAAUCAGAGAAAUUGCGAGACUUCUUCAAGCAAACUUGAAUAGAGAGAGAGAGAGAGAGAGAAAAGAGAAAAAACUAAUAACUAAUCACCAUUUUAUAUCGUGCAAUUAAUCAUCCAUCUGUCUCACUAGAAAGUUUCGAAAAACUUACGAAAUUUAUGCAAUUUCUUUCCCCAUCCGUACGUUUUAGUCUCCUCCAGUUACCUCAAUUAGCUCAAAACCUCUUGCGCAUCUUCGAUAUAAAGAAACGAAAGAUAACGCGAUAUCAAUUAAUUCGACAAUUUAUUAACUACCGCUCGUACAUCAGCAAUCAUUGGCAAUAAAUCAUGGCAAUUAAGGUUUUCAAGAUAAUACAAAUUAUUUCGCAAAUCGGUAUUGGAGAGAAAAGAAAGGAAAAGAAAGGGGGAGAAUCUAAGAAAAGGAAAUACGAUGGAUGAAAUGUGUAAUAAUAACGGCCGCGAUAAAAGAGUAUUAAUCACAAUAUUUCACGAGAUUCCGCAACGAGUGACAGAAAGUGUGCAACCGCACGUUAAAUCACGAACGCCGACAAGUGGAUUAACCUGGGCGAAAGGAACGUCGACCCUGCGUCGCUUUGUCGCGUAAAUCGACGGCUUUCCGCCGUGGACACGACAACGGACCUUUCUACAAUCCGCCGGGACGAUUACGCCUUUUGCAUCAUUCGCGGCCUGAUCGAUGAGGUACACGUCGCCGUUUGUAAAGAAAUCCCCCUGUGAACACGGAUUUAAUUGAAACCGCCGAUAUGAAAGAAAAUUCCUCGUUCCAUUGCUGUUUACAACAUUUUAUCCUCCCUUGCCCGAUGUUAGUUGCAUCCUCAUCCGGCAGAAUAGCGAUUUAAGGCGCCAAUUGGAGGAUCAUUGUGCGCAUGAAUGGUAAGGAUGAUCGUAUUGGAAAAUUUAAAAUUGCUUCACACUUUUCUACUAUAUUAACCCUUUUUGUUAACGCAGAAGAAGCGCAGCACGUUUGAAAUAUCGAAGUAUCUAUGAAAUUGUAAACGUUAUUCAAUUUGAUGAUGGAUGAAUCGUAAUUUUGACGUUUUCAAAAAAUCAUAUUCAACUUGCCUAUUAAUGAAACUAAUUUUCAAAGUGGAAAAUAUCAUCUUAUCGGGACAUUUCAUCGAUAUAAUGCUGGAAAAUUUUAAUAUCUACAGCUUUUUAUUUUUUCCAAAAUUUUAUCUAUCUUUUUUCUUUUUUAAUUUCUUCAUUCUUUUAACAAAUCCAUCUUUACCAUGUUAAUAAUUUUUACAAAACAAUUGCAUAAGUAUCGUAUCGUACAUAAUAAUUAGAAAUGAAUUUAAUUUUAAUUCAUAAUUUUAAUUCCGUACCAUAUUCUUUACUGUCAAAAUUCCCAAAAUUAACAAAAUAACAGGCUUAACAAACGUUCAUCGAGCAUGGCGACUUUUGCAUGUUCAAGCAUUACGCUUAAAGACGAUGUUGCGAGCGUUCAUUAUAAGGAUGGAACCCUGCAUGGGGUCCCCACGGAGUCGACACCCAUCCCUGGGACGUUGUAUUUAAUUUCUCUUUAAGCCGGCCCUAAGAAACUAAUGAGACACGCGUUACGGUUACCGGAAGUGGACAUCGCGAAUUUAUUAAUCGGCCCUCUUCUUCCUUUUCCAGUCGAGCCUUUCGCUCGACCCUUCGCCCUUUGUCGACGUUGCUAGAGAGAAAGAGAGAGAGAGAGAGAGAGAAGAAAAGAACUUACGAAGAAAUAAGAUCCUCGUGACUCGAUGCGCAACUCGAAACUCCCUCCCUUCGUUGUUCUUUCAAUUGUGAGAGGAAAAAAUUUCAUUAUCCCCACGGCCACGUGAUCCCGGAGUGAUCGCUUCAUUAAGAGAACUUAAUUUUAAGACACGGACUCGUUGGUGGAUCACAUGACAAGCGAUAUUUUUAAUGGCAAUCCUUUCUUCUUUACGAGAGCUUUGUGAAAAGGGAAGAAUAAAAAAGAUUGUUCAGGGGUGAGCAGAGAAUAAAAAAUCAAAGUCAUUGAUGAAUCGUAUGACAAGCGAUAUUUUAUUGCGAGAAUUUUCUAAAAAAAAAAAAAAAAAACAAAAGAAGGAAUUAAAUACACCAAGAACUUUUCUAAAUGAGAGAUUUAAUCAUUCUUCAAAUUACUGAUAUGAACACUUUAUUAACAAACUUCCUUUUCUCUUCGUAAGAAAAAAAAAAAAGAGAAGAAUUGUAGGAGAAAUAUUCUGUGACCAAAAAAUAAACACAAAGGAUGAUACGUUUCAUCGAAGAAUAAUUUCGAUCAAAGUCGAGAAGUAUAUAAACUAUCGACGAACGAGCCAUUACUAUGUAUCACAAAUAUCCCGCGGCAAGAUCGAAUCGAAACAGGGGCCAAUUAAUCGAAACGGCAUCCUGGAAAUCGAGCCUCGGAAUAGAAUCCUCGACGAGACCGAGCAAGCUCGUCGUAAAACGAGCGUGCAAGGAUAAUCGGGGUUUUUUACACCCGGCUCCAUUUGUCCGGAUCACGGCACGAUUCCCAUGCCAUGGCGAGGGACCGUUAGCCGCGCGAAAUCCUCGGCUAAAUUAGAUUGAUAUUAAGCUAAACUCGGACGCGAGAGGAGCCUAGAGGAGCAUGAUCGAACCGACUCGUCCUGGACGGUGAUUGGCACCGUUGGGAUCCGCACCUGCUGUUCCAUCGGAAUUCCCGCGAGAUGAGAUUCCAUAAUUUUCUCACGAUACACACGCACGCACAUGAGGGGCCCCCGAGUCGCGGGCCCCGCGACGUACGCCGCGUGUGUUCACCUUCUCGGUCGAUUUGAUCGCGUCCUCCCCUUGCGGAACGUCAAAAAUAUAAUCAUAAAGGUUAACUGGAAGAUUAAUAGCGGUCUGUGGCGUGCUACACUGCGAGAGAGAUGGCUUUUUUUUUAAUUGAGCCGUAACGGCUGGUUGAAGACCGGCUCUCCGUUGUCGAAUCCCCAUCGAAUCUUACGCUUUUUCGACUCGACAGUGACGGAAUUUCACGGAACACGAUUCUACACUUGUGCGCUGAUGAGUUCUUCUUCGUCAGAAAUAUUCACCUCGUAGGAAGAAUCUAUUCUGGAUUGGAAGAUCUUCCCAAUCUUCAACUUCAAAUCAAAAGAUAUUCCUUAUUAUUUUUUUUUCUAAAUUUGCCACAAUUUUAUCAUUGCCACUUUUCAAAAGUCAUCCUAAACCAUCACUUACCCCCAUCCACGAUCCAGUGUGCGUCCCCUUAUGUAUCGGUGUGACUACAAGGCAGCGGAGGAAACGAAUACGGACCACCCGUCCGCCCCCCUCCCCCCGUGUCCGGCAGUCCGUUUCUGCCUUCGGGGGAAUUAUUUAUACCGUUCCCUUGGAAAGGGGAGGCCCAUGGUGGCUGCCGGUGUAUGCCUCGCCAUCGCAGCCGUAAUUCAACUUAGGAAACAACGGCCAUGAGCCGUUGUGCAUAUGUCCCAGGUAGCGGUAAAUUAGUAGCGUGGGGCCCCGAAUUUCGACCGCGCGGCUUACCAGAGCAAGGGGUCCCGCGGGGAUGCGAGCAGUCCCCUUUUGGCCCCAUCCCCUCGCAUCCUAUACACCACGCAGGAGGACGCCCCGUGGCGAGAGCCGGCACUCCUGAUUAAAAUUACUCUGCCGAGAUCCGGCGAGAUUUCCGCGGCGAAAUUUAUGAAAUUGUCCCGGUUUAUUGUUUUAAAUGAGCUUGCGUUCCCGAAGAGAUCGACGGUGGAUAAGCGGUUCCCUGUAAAUCCACGCCCGACAGCCGGGAAGGGUGACGGUAUGCGGAGGCGGGGGCGCCUCGACCCCCUAGAGAGGACGUCCUCCGUGAAAAUCGUCCGAGGAUUAAAUCAGGAUUAAAGGGGGCCGAGAGAGAUUUCUUUUUUCUUUCCGUCGCCCGUUUUCAUUCUACCACGUUCACCAUUCUAGGGAACAGAAACGGGGAAUGGCUCCAUUUUUUCCCUGAGAGAUUCACGAGAUUCCGCUGGUCGAUGAUCACUGCUGGGAUAAAAAGGAAAUGUUGGAAAAUCAGCGUCUUGGGAUAGAUGCCGAUGAUUUUCGACGGAGAUUAGAGUAAUUUGAAAUUAUUCGAUGGAGAGCGAAGAGGUAUAUAGUUGAUGGAAAGAGUAAGUCAUUUUAGAAAGAUGGACAAAAAUCGAUUGGUGUACUCGUGUUGCGAUUAACACGAGAGAAAAUAAAGGAAAAUUGAACGAAAGAAGUUAAUUUAAUGAGCCGAAAAAAUGUAUCAAAUUCCUCAAAAUCUCAAGUUCCAAGAAGGAUCGGAAAAAAAGAAAAAGGUGAGAUCACACGUUAACUAAGAAACCAUUCAGAAAUCAAAGAAUCCGAUCAAAGUUUCUACCUUUUUCGACCACGAUCGACGAAAUUUAUCACCCUGUCUCGCGAUCAUCGAGGCACGCCCAUGUAUCGGUGGCAAGAAUUCGGUCAAUCCGGUCCGGCCUAGUCUCCAAUCCAGUCUAACAACGAUAAAUAAUCACGGAACGAUCGGGAAUGCGCGAAUGAGGUACGCGUAACAGGCACGGUUUAAAAACUUUCACCCACGAUUUCCCACGUGGUGACGUCAGUUUCGCGCGAACGGGUAGCCUAAAUGGCUGACUGCCGAUUUAUUCAAUGACUUAUAGCCACCGUGUUCAAACAGGGGGACGAUCAGAUGGCAUUAAUUCCAGCCAUGAUUUCUCGGUGUCGGUGCGUAGGAUUCGCGUGAAAUGUGAGCGUGCCGAGCUUUUGAAAUCGGGACGGUUCGAUUUAACGAUUUAACGACGCCUCGGGCGGCGAAUUUUUUAGAUCGCGACUCGCCGAAAAAAAAAAAAAAAGAAGAAACGAGCCUCGAGCAUCAUCGUAUGGCAAUAUUUAAAGAGACGAGUUGACAUGUGCCGUGGGACGUGUUUCCAGAAUAUUGUGGACGAAUGUAAAUUCGAUGUGUUGAGUAACGAAGUAGAGAAUCCAUCCGAUCUUUAACCGGACUGUUUGCUCACAGCUUCGUGUCGUCGGUGAACGUGUAAGAUAGUAACUAAUUUUUUAUGGAUUCUUUUUAACGGAAUAUUUCAUAAUUUAUUCCGAUAUUUGGAAGAAUUCGUGAGCGCGAGACGUACCUGGAAAAGGACGCAUUUGGAUUCGUUACGAAUUCAGAAUAUCCUAUGUUAGAAAAAGUAAAUAUUAAAUUUUUAAAUAUUCUCGAAUCGAUGACUUUUAAAAAAUUCUCUCCUCAAAAUUCAUCCAUUAUUCUAAAUAUUCUAUCCUAUCGUAUUUGCGUUCCGAUACAAUUUAGAAACCGUAACGAUUUUCCAAAAUUCGUAUUAAAAAUUGAUCUUAACGGAAUCGAGGUUACAGAUUUUCAGAUCACGAUCUCUCCUCUCUUCUCCCUGUACAAUAUAAGCAUUCUUAAGCUCUCUAAAGGAUACGGAGGAUCCAUAGGAUUCCCUUAUUGUCGGUUCGAGACUGCGUUCACGACAACGUUGCUCACGUACGGCAACGUGCUUGGUAUCGUAGAAAUUGCUGUAACACCACACCGAUCACGUAGCAGCGGAUGGUCUCUCGACCUCAUCCGGCGAUGAUGAUGAUGGUGUAGUGGCCGGUCGCGCGCGAGCGCUCGCGGUGUGAAUGAAGAGAGGGCUAAAGAUUACGAGCGUCGCAAAUUACUGUCAAUUUUGGUGAUUUUUCGUGGCGCGCCUCACGAGCAAAACGUUGCCCAUUUAUCGGUCGCGUGUAACCGGCCGCAUGCACGACCGAUCAAACGUUCCGUGAUCGACGGUAACGAACCUUUCAUACCCCCGUGGAAUUCGUAAUGAAUCGAUUAUCAUAGAUCCAUACCUGUACCGCGUUAUCUUUAUUCGAUAAAUUAAUGCCUGUCAUCGUAAUGCCUGCGCGCUCUCCUCUCGAUCGCUUUUAAUCGUCGAACCCGAUGAAUAUGUAAAUCGUUCGAAUAUUCCAUCGAAUGCUUUCCACUUGCGAAAUAAAUAAAUAAUUUGUGCUGUUCGUUCUAUCACUAUAUAUAAUUGUAUAAUGUGUGAGUAUAAUAGAGCAUAAGAUUUAUCAUAUCUAUUACAUUUUUAUUAUUGGUCCCUUUUUUCGCAUCAUCUUUCAUCGCAUAAUCUUUUAUUAUUUUUCUAAAAAUCAAAUCAAACAAUCCUUAUAUAUAUUUCGUGUCGUUACGUUUCGUUGAAUUUCGUUGACAGCCUAUAAAUAUUCAGAAACGGGAAAUUUCACAUCGCCCAAGUCGAUUAAUACAACUUUAUUAAAACAAUCGUAAAAUCGUGUCCAAUCAGAUCCCCUCAAAUAUUUUUUAACCGUGAAUUUUUCGAGAAAAAUCAUUUCCUCCCGACGAGCCAGUAUAUCGUAUAAACAUCACGUAUAAACAUCACAUUAUUUACUUUUCCAUGUGAUUUAUCGGCAUCAUCAUCGUCCAAUGUGUCAGCAAUGUACCAAUUGAUUAAACAAUCCACUCGUCCCACCACCAAUUUUCCACCAGCAAUUUCAAUUCUCUCCGAAGCCUUGCCGCGAGCAACGCAACCACCGCAAAUGCAACCACCGUCUUUUUUCCCGGAUCGUGCGCUCAUCUCCACGGCGUGUCGGCGUGUUUGCUCACACCCACCUGUGUCCUGGCGUGAAAUCAAUGCACGUGUAGGCGCGUGCACGUUACCGUGGCCCGAGCGAACCGUUCCCUUCGCCCGUGAACACAGCCACAGGGUUUUUCCGUUUAGCCGAUGAUUUACGGCGCGAACGUGUCUCGGAAGGUGUCGAUCGCAUAAUGGCGAGUCCUGUCGCCGUCGAUCGCCGCCCGAUACGGUAAUCACGGGGUGGCAUCUACCUGGCCGCGAUCAUAACGAUAAUGGUCGCUUUGCGGGGAAGACUUCAUCCUACACGCCGGCCCUUCGGACCCCGAGACGAGAUCACCUGUGCCCCGAUCGCUGAGAACGGAGUCAAUUGGGCCUCGGUUUCACGGUGGUGUACCAAGGCCCGCGAGAGUUUGCACGUAACGGGAGAGCGUAUUAGGCCUUCUCGGUGUUUCAAAAUCGGCUCGAUUAUUCGAAUUUAUGGAGGCUACGAAUCGAGGCUCCGCAAACAAGUUUAAAAUCGCGUGAUCUCAGAUGUUCCCACAUGAUAGAGAGUUUUUUUUACGCGGCCGUUGAGGUAUUGGUAACCGUGACUAUUUUCGGUCGUAACAGUGUUUCUCAAUAUUUUUUGUUCCUUCUUUUUUUUCUCCUCCUUUUUGCGUUUAGUAUUUAUGAAAGGUAUAUAUAUAGAAAUGAUGAAAAAUCAGAGUGAUUCGUUGAACAAUUCGUCGAAAUUCGAUAAUUUAUAUAACACCGAAGAUUAAAAGAUAUUUCGUUAAUUCCGUAAACAAAGUUUUGCUCGUACCAUCCUUCCAAGCAACGAGAAAUCGACGCACGGAGGGACGAACGUUCUCCAAAGGGGAUCAUUACCGUUGCGAGGAAACAGGGGCUAACCUCGAUCCAUCGGUCGGAACCCGGUGAAACCGGAGCUAGGUCGGCCCCGUCAAGGAUACAGAUGUCUCGUUCAUUAUGACGCGAAACGAGCGAAAGAAAAGCAAGAGGUGGAUAGGGACCUGUCGCGGCCGGGAAAGGCAUGAAAUUCCCGCCAUUCACGAUGUCAGCUAUUAACGGACGCGCGGCGUCUACAUCCUUUUACAAGUCAGCUGCUUUGUAAGCCGGCCGAGCUCUAUGGAGACCGCUCGUGCGCAUGCGCGCGCACGCUCGAGCUUCAAGCGCACAAUCAUCCCGUGGCCGUGGCUGGGAACCGAUGGAUUAUAAUAACGUUAACACACGGAAUUACACGUUAAGGGCCGGCUGACUACGGGCGACAAGGACGCGCUUUAACUUUUCAUCGGCAAUACGUCCGUUCGAACGAUUUGCGUCAAUAAGAUACACACUCACACGCGUUUAGUUGACACGUAAUCAACGAGCCUGCACACGAUCGUUAUUAAAUUCCCUUAGCGAGGGGCUCCUAUUGUCGUAUAUUUUUAUUGUCUUCGGGGCUUAUUUAUAGACGCAAGCCGCGUGAAACGAGCAAUCGAAGCUUUCUUAACUCUUACUUUUUACCCUUUCAUCCAGCUUGGUUCCCUAGAAUUUAUUAAUUACCAUAUGUCACGGCUUGUUCAGCGUCGCGAUAGAUAAGACCAUUAUGACUGCAUAGCAUGCGUGAUGAUCGCGCACGAGGACGGAUGGGAAAGGGUGGUGGUGCUGGUGUCUUAUGGGCUUGAACGGAAAAUUUGAUUGCGAAAGAAAUUGAUUUGCUGGAUUUGGAUAAGUGAUUGAUUGAAAUUCUUUCUUUCUUUUUUUUCUUUUUCAAUUUUAAGAAUUUGGGAACAUUAUAUUUCGAGUUUAUUGAUUUAUCAAUUUUCUCAUCUACCGAAUGUCUAUUUUUUCCUCCUAACUUCCUCCUUUUUUAAAUCGUAAUCAUUAUUCCGAUUAGAUUUGAUAUUGAUAUUCCGUCUUAAAGACCGCGAUGCUGAAUCAACAAAAACAUUUCCAAUCGCUUCCUGCUUAUCCAUUGAAUCAUCAGCGACCGAGCGUCAUCUAACACGGAAUUUAACAACAUUUAACAUUGAAUAAAUCCAGUUCUGGAACGAGUGGCUCGCGAGAGAAUCACAAGGGAGAACGACGGAAAUCGAUAGACGAAGGUCGACCGGGUUCGCGUAAUCGCUCGAAAAUAGCUUCGAUUACGGGCAAUGGUUCGCCUCGUAGAGAUGUUUUAGGAUAUUCUCAUCAUCCUCUCGAGAGGCACAGGAUUGUGAAAGCUACGAAUGGGGACAAUCAAGACGGGCGAUGGCCGAUUGGGAGAGAUUCGGACGGUCCAGCGCGGUGGGCAACGGUUGAAAACUGGGCGGAUCGUAAAAACUAAGCAAACGCGCAUAAACUCGAGAAUUUAUGGAGACGGCCGUUGAACACCGCAAACGAGGAAUUAGAAAUCGACCUCCAUCUCUCGACUCCGACCUCGGUCGUUAUGAUAAUUCGGUGAAACUGGAAUUGGAGUAUUAAGAACCGUGUCGUGUUUACGGUACAGGUGUGUUUGUGCGAUCGUACACGUAUCCCCUCUGUGAGGAAAUAAAAUCGGGAAGAUGAGACAUCCUCUGCGAUCAGGUUUUUCAUUAUUCUAAAAAUCGUAUCUUGUUCUUUUUUUCUUCUUCUUCUUUUUUAUUCUUAAUUAUCGGAUUAAUUUAUACAAGGAUUAUUUUAUCCGUAAUCGUUGCGCGUUCGGUAAAUCAAGCGGCUAUUAUCUUACUCGUGGGCUUCAUUUCAUUUGUUAUAUUGUAAUUGUAUUUUUAAUCGAGUCUGUCGAGUGAUGUCUAAUCUCAUUUCCAUUUUUAUUUAAAUUGUUCGGUGUUGAAUUAAAAAAAAGAAGAAAAUUUACUUAUUUUAAUUAAUCCAAAGUAAAUUCCAAUUCAAUUUUUAAUUUUUACGUUCAAAUGAAAUCCAGCAAGAUUUUCCAAGAAAGCAAGAAUUUAAAGAGAGAAGAAUUUUAUUUUUUGGCAAUUUUGUAUUGGAAAAUUUUCGAAACUUUCCAACAAUAUGCAAAAUCUCGUGUUAAAAGUGAUGCGACAAAAUCGUCCGAGCUCCAUUCCCCUUGACAUCAGUGUCGUCGCGGUGGGCGUUCCGAGUAUCAGGAAUUACGAGGCUCGCAUUCCCCAUCGCGCCCCGAUAUUUUUCUUUUCGUCGAAAAGGGAGCUCGUCCUCGCUUCUAGUCCUGAAACAUAAAUUUCAUUGGUAUCGUCGUUUUUCGUUCUCUACCCUGGUAACUCUACUGCACCCCGUGGCUUUUAACAGAGGCCAGAGCAAGAUAAACGGAUAUGAAACUGCUAACCCAUCUUCUCACGUAAACUGGAGUACCUUGUAUCUUAUUUCUCUCUCUCUUUCUUUCUUGUACGUUAUAAAACGUGUUUGUAAAAAUUUUGUCACCUUUACGAUUUUGAGGUUUUUUGCUACCUUGUAUUUAUAAAAUAUUUUUAUUAUUUUAAAAAUAAGAAAAAAAACUGCCAGCUAAAAUUUCGAAUUUAUGCUUAUUUUCUCGUUCUUCGUGUCAUUAUUUUCGCGUCAGCCUAUUUGAAUCUUGAAAUUAAUGGAUGAAUAACUUUCCCAAGAAUUAUAAGAUUGUUACAAUAAUGUUAUAUGAAAUGUAUCGAGAUAUAGAUUUAAUAAGAACGAA